GGUGAACGCUGGCGGCGUGCCUAAGACAUGCAAGUCGAGCGGGCCGCGGGGUUUUACUCCGUGGUCAGCGGCGGACGGGUGAGUAACGCGUGGGUGACCUACCCGGAAGAGGGGGACAACCCGGGGAAACUCGGGCUAAUCCCCCAUGUGGACCCGCCCCUUGGGGUGUGUCCAAAGGGCUUUGCCCGCUUCCGGAUGGGCCCGCGUCCCAUCAGCUAGUUGGUGGGGUAAUGGCCCACCAAGGCGACGACGGGUAGCCGGCCUGAGAGGGUGGCCGGCCACAGGGGCACUGAGACACGGGCACCACUCCUACGGGAGGCAGCAGUUAGGAAUCUUCCGCAAUGGGCGCAAGCCUGACGGAGCGACGCCGCUUGGAGGAAGAAGCCCUUCGGGGUGUAAACUCCUGAACCCGGGACGAAACCCCCGACGAGGGGACUGACGGUACCGGGGUAAUAGCGCCGGCCAACUCCGUG
rnacentral:rRNA from 1 species